GUGCUGGAGCAUUGUCGCCAUGGGAAGGCGGUCCGGCGGGCCCGGGAGGGAGCAGCCGUACGUAACACCGCCGUGAUCGUAUCCGUGCGCCGUUCCACUGCCAAGC
rnacentral:SRP_RNA from 12 species